UGCCCCAGUAACGGCGAGUGAAGCGGCAACAGCUCAAAUUUGAAAUCUGGCCCCCAGGCCCGAGUUGUAAUUUGCAGAGGAUGCUUUUGGUGAGGCACCUACCGAGUCCCCUGGAAUGGGGCGCCAUAGAGGGUGAGAGCCCCGUAUGGUAGGACGCCGAACCUCUGUAAAGCUCCUUCGACGAGUCGAGUAGUUUGGGAAUGCUGCUCUAAAUGGGAGGUAAAUUUCUUCUAAAGCUAAAUACCGGCCAGAGACCGAUAGCGCACAAGUAGAGUGAUCGAAAGAUGAAAAGCACUUUGAAAAGAGGGUUAAAAAGUACGUGAAAUUGUUGAAAGGGAAGCGCUUGUGACCAGACUUGCGCCGGGCGGAUCAUCCAGCGUUCUCGCUGGUGCACUCCGCCCGGUUCAGGCCAGCAUCGGUUUUCGCCGGGGGACAAAGGCUUCGGGAACGUGGCUCCUUUCGGGGAGUGUUAUAGCCCGCUGCGUAAUACCCCGGCGGGGACCGACGACCGCGCUUCGGCAAGGAUGCUGGCGUAAUGGUCAUCAGCGACCCGUCUUGAAACACGGACCGAGGAGUCAAGCAUUAGUGCGAGUGUUUGGGUGUAAAACCCGCACGCGUAAUGAAAGUGAACGUAGGUGAGAGCUUCGGCGCAUCAUCGACCGAUCCUGAUGUUUUCGGAAGGAUUUGAGUAGGAGCAUUAACGCUUGGACCCGAAAGAUGGUGAACUAUACUUGAAUAGGGUGAAGCCA
rnacentral:rRNA from 1 species